rnacentral:misc_RNA from 1 species
CCGAGUGAUAGCAGAUUUGUGUAGUGUCCACACAGAUUGUCUGAUAGAUAGCCAUGAGCGGCUUAUCUGCGAAGUCGAUGUCCCCUUCGUCUAGAGGCCUAGGACACCGCCCUUUCACGGCGGUAACAGGGGUUCGAAUCCCCUAGGGGACGCCACGCUGCUCAGGCCCGUUAUUGCUAAGCCGGUUUUAUAGCCCGUUUAGCAAUAAUUGCUCUUUAACAAUCUGGAACAAGCUGAAAAUUGAAACAAUCCGUGCCGUUGCGACAAGGGCACGGGUGAGUCUCUCAACACUCCGACUCGAAGACACCUUCGGGUUGUGA